rnacentral:rRNA from 1 species
AGUGGCGAACGGGUGAGUAACGCGUAAGUAACCUGCCCCUAAGUAGGGGAUAACUCUGAGAGAUUAGAGCUAAUACUGUAUGUGGUGGUGGGGGUAAUGCUUCAUCACUAAAGCCUUAGGGCGCUUAGGGAAGGGCUUGCGUCCGAUUAGCUAGUUGGUAGGGUAAUGGUUUACCAAGGCGAUGAUCGGUAGCUGGUCUGAGAGGACAUCCAGCCACACUGGGAUUGAGAUACGGCCCAGACUCCUACGGGAGGCAGCAGCAAGGAAUAUUGUGCAAUGGGCGAAAGCCUGACACAGCGACGCCGCGUGGGGGAUGAAUGCCUUCGGGUGGUAAACCCCUUUUCUCAGGGAAGAAUAAUGACGGUACCUGGGGAAUAAGUCUUGGCUAACUACGUGCCAGCAGCAGCGGUAAUACGUAGGAGGCAAGCGUUAUCCGGAUUUAUUGGGCGUAAAGAGGACGCAGGCAGUUUUUCAAGUCGAUUGUGAAAUCUCCCGGCUUAACCGGGAGGGGUCAGUCGAUACUGUUAGACUAGAGAGCAGCAGAGGGAGGUGGAAUUCCCGGUGUAGUGGUGAAAUGUGUAGAUAUCGGGAGGAACACCAGUGGCGAAGGCGGCCUCCUAGGCUGUUUCUGACGCUGAGGUCCGAAAGCGUGGGGAGCAAACAGGAUUAGAUACCCUGGUAGUCCACGCUGUAAACGAUGGACACUANGUAUGGGGAGUAUCGACCCUCUCUGUGCCGAAGCUAACGCAUUAAGUGUCCCGCCUGGGGAGUACGGCCGCAAGGCUAAAACUCAAAU